rnacentral:rRNA from 1 species
UAGGGAAUAUUAGAAAUGGACGAAAGUCUGAUCUAGCAACACCGCGUGUGCGAAGAAGGCCUUCGGGUCGUAAAGCACUUUUUGGAAGGAAUAGGAAGGAAUGUACUUCCAGAAUAAGUCUCGGCUAACUACGUGCCAGCAGCCGCGGUAACACGUAGGAGGCAAACGUUAUCCGGAUUUACUGGGCGUAAAGCGCGUGUAGGUGGUACUGUAAGUAGGGCGUGAAAGCUCCUGGCUCAACUGGGAGAGGCCGUUCUAAACUGCAGAGCUAGAGGAUGGUAGAGGGAGGUGGAAUUCCGGGUGUAGCGGUGGAAUGCGCAGAUAUCCGGAGGAACACCAGUGGCGAAAGCGGCCUCCUGGCUCAUAUCUGACGCUCAGACGCGAAAGCUAGGGUAGCAAACG